rnacentral:lncRNA from 1 species
UAUGAAGCUAAACAGAUUGUUUGCCCUCUAGGAUUAAUGAUAGAUGAUAGUGAUGCAGUAAAAUAAUUAUUUAAGAAGGUAAUAUAGCUAGUGUAGAAUUAAUGAGUGAUUCAAACUUAUUGUAAAUAUAAUUUCUAAUUAAAUAUAUGUUUGCAUGUUUGAAAUAUGUAAAGUUUUAAUUUUUGCUUCAUGAAAUCCAGCGAAACCUGACGAGAUCAGAUGCCUACAAGUUCCACCCGG